rnacentral:rRNA from 1 species
AACGAACGCUGGCGGCGUGCCUAACACAUGCAAGUCGAACGAGAAAGGGGCUUCGGCUCCGAGUAAAGUGGCGCACGGGUGAGUAACACGUGGGUAACCUGCCUCUAAGAUUGGGAUAACUCGUCGAAAGAUGAGCUAAUACCGAAUAAGACCACAGUUCCCGCGGGAACAGGGGUCAAAGGUAGCCUCUGCUUGCAAGCUAUCACUUAGAGAUGGGCCUGCGCACCAUUAGCUAGUUGGUAGGGUAACGGCCUACCAAGGCAAAGAUGGUUAGCUGGUCUGAGAGGAUGAUCAGCCACACUGGAACUGAGACACGGUCCAGACUCCUACGGGAGGCAGCAGUGGGGAAUAUUGCGCAAUGGGCGAAAGCUUGACGCAGCAACGCCGCGUGAGUGAUGAAGGCAUUCGGGUCGUAAAGCUCUGUCGGGAGGAACGAAUGCUCCUGAGGUUAACAGCCUCGGGAGGUGACGGUACCUCCAAAGGAAGCACCGGCUAACUCUGUGC